rnacentral:rRNA from 1 species
AUCAGCAGCCAUAUCACCCUGCAACUCACAACUGGCAGCCCACUGAAGCUAAGCAGAUGUGAGCCUGGUCAGUCCCUGGACAGGAGACCUCCUGGGAAAGCUAAGGUUGCUGCUGGAA